rnacentral:rRNA from 1 species
UACGUAGGGGGCAAGCGUUGUCCGGAUUUAUUGGGCGUAAAGAGCGUGUAGGCGGUUUGGUAGGUCCGUUGUGAAAACUCGAGGCUCAACCUCGAGACGCCGGCGGAAACCAUCAGGCUAGAGUCCGGAAGAGGAGAGUGGAAUUCCGUGGUGUAGCGGUGAAAUGCGCAGAUAUCAGGAAGAACACCCGUGGCUAAGGCGGCUCUCUAGUACGGUACUGACGCUGAGACGCGAAAGCGUGGGAGCGAACAGG